rnacentral:rRNA from 1 species
UACGUAGGGUGCAAGCGUUAAUCGGAAUUACUGGGCGUAAAGCGUGCGCAGGCGGCUUUGCAAGACAGAUGUGAAAUCCCCGGGCUCAACCUGGGAACUGCAUUUGUGACUGCAUGGCUAGAGUACGGUAGAGGGGGAUGGAAUUCCGCGUGUAGCAGUGAAGUGCGUAGAUAUGCGGAGGAACACCGAUGGCGAAGGCAAUCCCCUGGGCCUGCACUGACGCUCAUGCACGAAAGCGUGGGGAGCAAACAGG